GGACAAUGGAGGCAAGUCUGAUCCAGCCAUGCCGCGUGCAGGAAGACAGCCCUAUGGGUUGUAAACUGCUAUUAUACAGGAAGAAACAUACCUACGUGUAGGAGUUUGACGGUACUGUAAGAAUAAGGAUCGGGUAACUCCGUGCCAGCAGCCGCGGUAAUACGGAGGAUCCAAGCGUUAUCCGGAAUCAUUGGGUUUAAAGGGUCAGCAGGCGGUCUUUUAAGUCAGAGGUGAAAUCUUACAGCUCAACUGUAGAACUGCCUUUGAUACUGAAAGACUUGAGUUAUUGUGAAGUAGUUAGAAUGUGUGGUGUAGCGGUGAAAUGCAUAGAUAUCACACAGAAUACCGAUUGCGAAGGCAGAUCACUAACAAUAUACUGACGCUCAGGGACGAAAGCGUGGGUAGCGAACAGGAUUAGAUACCUUGGUAGUCCACGCCGUAAACGAUGGAUACUAGCUAUUCGACUAACAUUGUUAGUUGAGUGGUAAGCGAACAAAUAAAAUGGA
rnacentral:rRNA from 1 species